rnacentral:lncRNA from 1 species
CUUGAUGUUAUGAUACAAGACAUCGUGUGCAGAUGCCCGAUGUCUUAUUUUGACAAUCCUUUGUGUGCGAUAAACUGUACUAGUUCACCACCAGUAGGGGACCAGGUCGCUGAGGAAAUAUUAGUCAAAAAUAAUAAAGAAACUAAAACUAAAUUCACAGAAACAAAACAACACUAGAUAUUUUACGGGAAACCUCCUUACUCA